rnacentral:rRNA from 1 species
GUCGUGAAGAGGGAAACAACCCAGACCGCCAGCUAAGGUCCCAAAGUCAUGGUUAAGUGGGAAACGAUGUGGGAAGGCCCAGACAGCCAGGAUGUUGGCUUAGAAGCAGUCAUCAUUUAAAGAAAGCGUAAUAGCUCACUGGUCGAGUCGGCCUGCGCGGAAGAUGUAACGGGGCUAAACCAUGCACCGAAGCUGCGGCAGCGACGCUUAUGCGUUGUUGGGUAGGGGAGCGUUCUGUAAGCCUGUGAAGGUGUACUGUGAGGUAUGCUGGAGGUAUCAGAAGUGCGAAUGCUGACAUAAGUAACGAUAAAGC